AUUGAACGCUGGCGGCAGGCUUAACACAUGCAAGUAGAGCGAGCGGCGGAAGGGUGAGUAAUGUAUGGGAAACUGACUGAGGGAGGGGGAUAACUACUGGAAACGGUAGCUAAUACCGCAUACCAUCAGAUGGGCCCAGAUGGGAGUUGCGAGUAGGUGGGGUAAUGGCGAACCUAGGCGACGAUCCCUAGCUGGUCUGUGAGGAUGACCAGCCACCAGGGAACUGAGACACGGUCCAGACUCCUACGUGAGGCAGCAGUGGGGAAUAUUGCACAAUGGGCGCAAGCCUGAUGCAGCCAUGCCGCGUGUGUGAAGAAGGCCUUCGGGUUGUAAAGCACUUUCAGCGAGGAGGCGUUACUCGCAGAAGAAGCACCGGCUAACUCCGUGCCAGCCGCCGCGGUAAUAC
rnacentral:rRNA from 1 species